rnacentral:misc_RNA from 1 species
AACUUUCAACAAUGGAUCACUUGGCUCUGGCAUCGAUGAAGAACGCAGCGAAAUGCGAUAAGUAAUGUGAAUUGCAGAAUUCAGUGAAUCAUCGAAGCGUUGAACGCACAUUGCGCCCCUUGGUAUUCCGAGGGGCAUGCCUAUUCGAGCGUCAUUAUCACCCCUCAAGCCUAGCUUGGUGUUGAGGCCUGCUGUCAAGGCAGCCUCUAAAAUCAGUGGCAGUGCUGUCAGGCUCUAAGCGUAGUAAAAUUCAUCGCUAUAGACACCUGGUGGACACUCGCCAGAACACCCCCAUUUUUUAAUGAUUGACCUCGGAUUCGGUAGGGAUACCCGCUGAACUUAAGCAUAUCAAUAAGCGGAGGCU